UACGUAGGGGGCGAGCGUUGUCCGGAAUGACUGGGCGUAAAGGGCGCGUAGGCGGCUCUGUAAGUCCGGAGUGAAAGUCCAGCUUUUAAGGUUGGAAUUGCUUUGGAAACUGUGGGGCUUGAGUGCGGAAGAGGUAAGUGGAAUUCCCAGUGUAGCGGUGAAAUGCGUAGAGAUUGGGAGGAACACCAGUGGCGAAGGCGACUUACUGGGCCGUAACUGACGCUGAGGCGCGAAAGCGUGGGGAGCGAACAGGAUUAGAUACCCUGGUAGUCCACGCGGUAAACGAUGAAUGCUAGGUGUAGGGGGUAUCGACCCCUCCUGUGCCGGAGUAAACGCAAUAAGCAUUCCGCCUGGGGAGUACGGCCGCAAGGUUGAA
rnacentral:rRNA from 1 species